rnacentral:rRNA from 1 species
UACGUAGGGGGCAAGCGUUGUCCGGAUUUAUUGGGCGUAAAGAGCGUGUAGGCGGCUUCACAGGUCCGCUGUGAAAACUUGAGGCUCAACCUCGAGCUGUCGGUGGAAACCGUGUGGCUAGAGUCCGGAAGAGGAGAGUGGAAUUCCCGGUGUAGUGGUGAAAUGCGUAGAUAUCGGGAGGAACACCUGUGGCGAAAGCGGCUCACUGGACCACACCUGACGCUGAGGCGCGAAAGCUAGGGGAGCAAACAGG